rnacentral:lncRNA from 1 species
UUUUUUUUUUCUUUCUUUUGAUAUCUAAUAAGUGGUUUUGACCAAAUGAAGGAAUUAGUUCAUUCAAAUUCUAGUUCUGACACUUAUUAUCUAGGUGACUCUGCAUAAAUCAUUUAACUUCUCUUGAUGUAAUACUUGUCAUGCAAGGCUGGUGAAAUAUUAAAGCAUUCAAUGUACUGGAAAACAUUUUGUAAACUCAAAAACAAUAUCAAUAGCAUAUUCUCCCAUGCUUCAGGACUAUGCUAUCAGGAUUACUUUCCUCAUCUUCUUGACUCAGCAAGUCCUUAAGAUGGAACUUUUCCCUUUUGGUGAAGUAUGCUCAGAUCUUUUAAAAGAAAAUUCUUUUUCUGUAAAUAUCUCUACUCUAAUAUCUUUAUAGGUCUAUGGUCCUACUUAGAGCAUAAGAAUUUUGAGUGCCAAGUUUGAGUCCCACCCAUAAUAGGUGCCAAAAUGAGAGAAUGUGAAAGUAGGCACUUGCAUGUCUGUGGUAAUACAGCCUCCCAAGUCCUCUGUCACUUCUACAGUUAGAGUGAUAAUAAAGAAUAUGCCAUCUAACUUAUCCAGAACUCCAAGUUUCCUACAAGCUAAUCUGGAAAAGCAAAAGCACAUCCUCUUGCCUUUGGUGUACGUGCAGGACCCUAGAUGUGUGUCAUAGCUUUGAAACAGUAUUUUAAAUCAAAUGUUUACAUAUAGUCAGUAUUAGCAUUAUUGUCAACUAAGCAGGAUGAUGACAAAUUAGCCAUGGUUCCUCUAACACCUAAAUAAAUAAUAAUAUAUUGAGUGAUUAGCCAGAUCAAAUCUUACUGAAACCUAAUUGAACGUGAGAUUUCCAGAGGAAACAGGUGGGUUCUUCACUAUUUUUAUUUAUAAGCAGCAUUUUUUAUAAUUGGUUAUAUGCAGUCAUUGCCUUAAUAUAAAAAUUUCAAAAUAAAGUCCACAGAUAAAGGAAGCCUGGAGGAAGGAGAUACAUGUAUGGCCAUGAUCAAAUCAUAGACCAGCAGAAAAAAACCCCGUAGGCACUUAGCACAAAGGACUCUGGGGAGUGUUCUCUAAAAAUCUCCUUUGUAAUUAUGCCGUAUCAUAUUUUGCCAAGGGCAUGGUCUGACUGGUGGUUUUACUGAUUUACUGGCCAAUGCUGACAACAUUAUGAAAAUAGAAGUCUUGGAGCAAUAAUUGUGCCUGCCAUGGAGGUCUCCCUGAAGACCAUCUUUAUCCCACCAUGGGUUCAUGUGCUUCCAGUGGAUAAUUCCUCAGAUCACAUGUAUCAUGGCUCACUGACUUUCAGUACUAAGGCCAAUGUCAUGGGCUAAAUGCUUGUAGCUUUUAAAUUUUCAACAAACAAAAUUAUCUGCAUAUUGUACUGAUCCACAUAAAUAAGCCAGGGCCUAUAACUAAAUCAACACAGACCUAAAAUAGCACCCUCUUGAAAGGAAAAUUUAUAAGGUAUUCUAAACAUGUGGCUUAUUCUUUAGGAUACACAUGAAGGUUCACUUGGAUCAGCUGCACCUGAUAUCAUCCAUUAUAGAUAGAAGGAGGAGGGUAAAAUGAACAACUGAUAAACUAAGAGUUAGAAAAAUCUGUAGACAGGAAAUAGUUCUAUAAGGCUGCAUUAUCUCACUGAAUCUAUAAGCAACUUUUAACUUCAUAAAGGAACUUUUUUCAAAACCCACUGUGCAAAAAUCAGCAGGAGUGAAAUAGAUUUAACUUCCUUUCGGGAUUAUUAAACUGAUCCUAUAAAAACACAACCUAUAGGAUAAUUUCAGUGUCUAUAAGAGGUGUGUAGAUAUUACAUAAUUUUCAAUAGCAUCUUUUCAUUCUUAAAUAUUUCCUUUAAAAAGAACUGCAUACAAAUCAUCCUCAAAAUACCAUUAAUGUAAUACUUUGAAAACCAGGGUAUUUACCCUUUCCUUUGGAUAUAUACAUUGGUAAACAAAAGACACAAGAAACCACAAAAUAAAUAUUGAGUAUCUGUGGGAGUAAACAUUUUUACUUUAAAAUGUGGUGAAUAUGAAGGUCUUGUUUUAAUAGGAUCUUUCUCUUCAUUUCCACCUCUCUUUUUUCCUCUUUGAAAGCAAACACAUAGCCAAACAUCCCCAAUAACCUCCUGGGUGUACAAGUUUGGGAGUUAUUUUCCCCACAAUCAUCUAUAAGCUAAUAACUGUCAAAGGACAGAGAUGAUAUCAAAAAUAAGGUCAACAUUUAGAAUUGGAAACAAAAAUAAUCUAUACUGAUAAGAAAUUCCUCUUCCAGAUAAUUCAAUACUUUAAAAAUAACAACAACCCCUUUCACCUUGGCAGCUUUCCUGCAGAUAAACAGAAGCCAUAACACAGAACUUGUGUUUUGAUAACCUUGAUCUCUUGAGUCCACUGUCAUUUCAAGUUCUGAGUCUAGAAAGACAUAUUUAUUUUCCCUGAAGCUUUCAAUAAAGCACAAGGAAGUCUUAGAAGAUAUAAUGGCUCUGAAGGAUCACAAAGUUAUAGUGCAAAACUACAUGAAGUUUUCAUAAUGAUCUCUGUGCACAGCUGACCAGUAAGGGAAAGGCCCUAGGGAUGUUUGACAAAUAUCUUAUGGAUAUAAUAGGGAAGGGAGAACUCUUGAGGUUUUUAUUUCCUUAAUGUACACGUAUCCUGGGGCCAAAUGAAUAUCUUUAUUAGAGGCCAUUUCUCAAAGAAGAGAUAAUGAUCACAAGGGAAAAAAUAAAACCUACAUAUUGUGAAAUAUUUCUAAUAUAUGUUUGAUUUUAAUUGGGGGCAUUUCUGGAUGUGCCAGGCAGCUUAUUGAACCAUUUCACAUAAAAAUAUUAUAGAGGCACACACUCGUGCAUGUGCACACACACAUACACACACACAUAUCUUCAAAGGGAACUGUUAAAGUUAUUUUAAUCCUUACUUUUGACAAUCUGCACUUGAAAUAUUAUUGAAUUGUGAUUCAGGAAAGCUGUAUGUUAAUUCUAGCACUGAAUUUAUCAGAAUUUGUGACUUUGGCAUAUCAUUUAUUGCUACCAUAUCUCAGUCUUUUUUAAACAAAUGUACAGGAUUAUAAAUCUUAUUUCAAAAGGUUUUAAGAAGAUAAAAGAAAAUAUAUAUCCAAACAGUAGUUAAGAGCCAUGCAAAAGCAAUGUAACAUUGCUUUUAUUUUAUAUAGUACUUGUCUUUUUAGACUAUAUUAGUAAUGUAAAUAUAAAGAUAUAAUAACAUAUAAUACAUAAAACAUGAUACAAGUAAGUGAAUAUAUAAAUUAGUAAAUGAUGUAUGCUUUCUCUUGAAAUAAUGCUGGCAGAGGUUACUCAGAGGUCAAAAUAGAUAUAACAAUUAAAUAACAACAUAUACAUACGUCCACUUUUAAUAGGGUAUGGUGACAUGCACCAAUUUUUGAAAGAUACUUUUGUUUAUGAAAGCAUCACAUCAUAUAAUAGUGUUAUCUAUCAAAUAUAAUUUUGCUUUAUAGACAUGAAAAAUAUAAAUUGUGCAAGAUCUCAAUAUAUAAAUAUACUUAAAUGGCUUUCAGCAGCUAAAUUUGCUGAGUCUGUUAUCAUGAAACACAAAUAUACAGUGAAAUAUGCUUUGAAAACAAACUCAAUUUGAAAAUGCAAAAGCACAGUAGGAUUAUUUAUAGUUGUUUCCCAUAAGAUUAAAUAAUUUUAUUACUUGGAAAUACACUCUGAAAGUUCUACUCUUUAAGAACAUGUAAAAGAGUAUAAAAAAAAAAUAAAAAAUAAAAGAGUAUAGCAAUUCUGUUACUGAAUAAUGAAGCAUAAUUUGCUAUUAGGAAAGAUUAUAAGGAUACCAUCUAAGCCUCAGAAACCCGAGGAUUAUAAAAUAAAUUAAUUCCGGGAUAGAAAAUAUCUAGAAUCAAUUUGGAUCUGAAGUCAAAACCAAUAAUUAAAAUAUCUUCACAAAUUAAAUAUGUGUCCAACUGGAGCACUCUGAGAUUCAACAAAUCUUAAUGAUUUAACAGUCUACAUAAGAGAAGAAAAAUCUGACUCCCAUGCAAAAAUUUGAGAAAUGGGAGUCCAGAUAAAAAGCCUUUUAACUGCAGAAAAUUUUGGUGUUCCUUUUUUUUUUAAAACUUUCCACUGUGAAACCAAGUAUAGGAACAGUUCAGAAAAAGGUUUAGAUUAGUUAUAUUCAAAAGUUAAAGUAGGUGAGAAAUGGCUAGCUCUGUUUAUCUAUUUUUAAUAGUCAUUUACCCUAGAAUAUUAUAUUAUAUAGAAUGAAGAACUCCUCCAAGAACCCAGAGUCACUCCCUCUUUAUUCCCUACUGAAGGAUGAUGCAUGGAGCAUCUGGCACUAGCCUUUGAGAGAAUCUACUUGGAUGCUGUCAGAGAAAAAAAACAAAACAAAACAACAAAGCAAAACUGCAGAACAUGAGGAAUUUGAAAACAAGGUGGAGGGGCUGCCGCCUGAUUAUACAACAGACUGGGAGGGCUUGAACAGGAAUGAGGAAUGGGUCCUAAGAGAACGGAGUUUCACUAACCCAGUUCAAAGGAGAGAGGAGUAUUGAUUGCCUUCCUCCCUCCCACCACCCAAAAAAGAAAUAUUCCCCCCCAAUCUGAUCUAAUUGAUAAAUAAAAGAAAUUCAAACAUGAAUUAUAAUCUGACAUAUUUAUGCCCCUUCUGAAAGAUACUGUGCUAGUCUAUUUCACCCAUUUGGCUCAUUUUAAUGCUUUUAAAUCUCAUUCUAAUUUAUAUUCUGGCUCCAUUAGAUACCAUUUCUCAUCCAAUUCUUAUCAGGUAAUUUGUAAAGAAAUGUAUGACAAAAAGCAUAGCAUCAUUAAAAAAAUAACAAGGCAACAAACAAAUUUAACUUAAAAAUGUAUACAAUUAUCAUAAGAUAUGAAAUCCAUGCAAAUGCCAAAUAAAAACACUGAGUUGGCAAUGCAGCUCUGACAUUGUUAAACCUUCAAAUUAUUAACUCCAGAUUAUUCAAACAGAAUAGCACAUCCUUAGGAAAACAAGACAAGAAUGUAUAAUUUGCAAAUAGUAAAGUUUGUGACUGCACAAGACAAGACUUCAAGCUCUAAACUGUCACCGGGAACAAUCCUGCAAUUCAAUUCUUAAAAUUAUUUAAAUACAUCUGUUAAAAAUAUUUUUCUCUAGGGUGGGAUUAUUGGGAAUUUUAAUUUCUUCCAUUAUUUCUAUUAUAUAAAAAUUAUCAUUAAAGUUUAAAAAAUAUAUUUGAACCAGAAACUAGGCAUUGAUUCCUCUAAUUUAUAGGGCAGGCUAGGAAUGGGUCUAAGUGGGAUGCCGAAAAACAGUAACAAAUCCACUUUAGGGGAUUGCAAAAAUGUCACUGUCUCAUUACAGCACUAAAUCUAAAGUGGGUGAUCCUCCAGGUUGCUUAGAAGUUGCUUCAUAGAUUU